AUUGAACGCUGGCGGCAGGCCUAACACAUGCAAGUCGAGCGAGCGGCGGACGGGUGAGUAAUGUCUGUGAAACUGCCCGAUGGAGGGGGAUAACUACUGGAAACGGUAGCUAAUACCGCAUACCAUCAGAUGUGCCCAGAUGGGAUUAGCUAGUAGGUGGGGUAACGGAUCACCUAGGCGACGAUCCCUAGCUGUUCUGAGAGGAUGACCAGCCACACUGGAAUUGAGACACGGUCCAGACGCCUACGGGAGGCAGCAGUGGGGAAUAUUGCACAAUGGGCGCAAGCCGGAUGCAGCCAUGCCGCGUGUGUGAAGAAGGCCUUCGGGUUGUAAAGCACUUUCAGCGGGGAGGCGUUACCCGCAGAAGAAGCACCGGCUAACUCCGUGCCAGCAGCCGCGGUAAUAC
rnacentral:rRNA from 1 species